rnacentral:rRNA from 1 species
AGUGAACGCUGGCGGUAGGCCUAACACAUGCAAGUCGAACGGCAGCACAGUAAGAGCUUGCUCUUACGGGUGGCGAGUGGCGGACGGGUGAGGAAUACAUCGGAAUCUACUUUUUCGUGGGGGAUAACGUAGGGAAACUUACGCUAAUACCGCAUACGACCUACGGGUGAAAGCAGGGGAUCUUCGGACCUUGCGCGAUUGAAUGAGCCGAUGUCGGAUUAGCUAGUUGGCGGGGUAAAGGCCCACCAAGGCGACGAUCCGUAGCUGGUCUGAGAGGAUGAUCAGCCACACUGGAACUGAGACACGGUCCAGACUCCUACGGGAGGCAGCAGUGGGGAAUAUUGGACAAUGGGCGCAAGCCUGAUCCAGCCAUACCGCGUGGGUGAAGAAGGCCUUCGGGUUGUAAAGCCCUUUUGUUGGGAAAGAAAAGCAGCAGGUUGAUACCCCGCUGUCCUGACGGUACCCAAAGAAUAAGCACCGGCUAACUUCGUG